rnacentral:lncRNA from 1 species
CCCCGGGCAGGGCCUUGAACAAAGAUUUCUUAUAGAACUUGCAGCAACGACAGAGCCCUCUGGUGGCAACAAUGUGGCAUUUCUCUCUCUGGGGAAGACGCCUGCAGAUGAGUCAGUGGGUGUGGUGAGGGUCUAGGACCCUUCAGGCCAACGGGAUUUUCCGGGGUCUCCCUGUUCGGACCAGAUGCUCAGGGGCCUUUCUGCCUGGAGCCCUCCCAGGGCCCCUCCCCUCCCCCCGUUUCCUGACGGAGGGGACGGCGAGGCCCCACCCAGAAGCGAAGCUUCAGAGGGACGGGCCGAGGAGCUGGAAGGGGCUUUGCCGAGUGUGGGGGAUGGAUUGGCUCCUUCACACAGUGAGGGUUCGCCCGGGCCCUGGGGUCGGCCAGCCUGUGUGGCGACGCUGUGUCAGGUAGGGGCGAGGCCCUGGGGAGCUGCUGUGUGGGCAGCGGAGCGGGACCUGGGGCAGGGCUGGGAGGAGGGUCGGGACGCUCCCUACGUCGGGGAACUUGAGUCUUGACGGUGAGCAGGACACAGCCAGGCACAGAGGGCAGUCCUGCGGGGCAGGGGAUGUGGCUCCUGGGACGUCCUGCAAGGGAUCCGCCGAGGCUGGGGCCUGGCGCGUGGGCCCUGACGGUACUUGGUAACCGUCACUUUGCUUGGACGACGUAAGAGCCAACUCCGAACACCAGCUGCAGCUGAAGAUUUUUCUCAUGAGACGUGGGGCUGGAAGGGAAGCCUGGACACAGAGAAGCCUCCAGGGUUGCCAGGUUCAGAGGCUCAGCAGUGACACCGAAGACGUGUCCCUCAGCUCACUGUCCUCCAGCUGGCAGGCCUCACGGUCACAAUAUGGCUGCCUGAGCUCAGCCAUCACAGACAGUCUCAGAAAUAACCAAGAAGAAGGGACAGCGUCUCCUUCCUGUGUCGUCUUUCGAGAGAGAGGACGCCGCCCCAGAAGCCUCUGCAGGUGCCCCUCAGGCCUCAUUCCUGAGCCAUCCUGGUGAGCUGGGAGACCAGCACCAGCCCCUCCACCUGGGCACAGGCGGGGUCUCUU